CCUACGGGUGGCUGCAGUGGGGAAUAUUGCACAAUGGGCGCAAGCCUGAUGCAGCCAUGCCGCGUGUGUGAAGAAGGCCUUCGGGUUGUAAAGCACUUUCAGCGGGGAGGAAGGCGUUAAGGUUAAUAACCUUGGCGAUUGACGUUACCCGCAGAAGAAGCACCGGCUAACUCCGUGCCAGCAGCCGCGGUAAUACGGAGGGUGCAAGCGUUAAUCGGAAUCACUGGGCGUAAAGCGCACGCAGGCGGUCUGUCAAGUCGGAUGUGAAAUCCCCGGGCUCAACCUGGGAACUGCAUUCGAAACUGGCAGGCUAGAGUCUUGUAGAGGGGGGUAGAAUUCCAGGUGUAGCGGUGAAAUGCGUAGAGAUCUGGAGGAAUACCGGUGGCGAAGGCGGCCCCCUGGACAAAGACUGACGCUCAGGUGCGAAAGCGUGGGGAGCGAACAGGAUUAGAUACCCCAGUAGUC
rnacentral:rRNA from 1 species